UUCCUGGUGGCUCAGUGGUAAAGAAUCUGCCUGCAAUGCAGGAGACCUGGGUUUGAUCCCUGGGUAGGGAA
rnacentral:tRNA from 1 species